rnacentral:rRNA from 1 species
GUCUUCUUGUUAUAUUUAGGAAGUCUGGCCUGCCCAGUGAAAAUAAUUUAACGGCCGCGGUAUCCUGACCGUGCAAAGGUAGCAUAAUCAUUAGUCUUUUAAUAGAGGGCUGGUAUGAAGGGUUUAACGAGGUGUUGACUGUCUCAUUUAAUUUGUGUUUAGAAUUUAAUUUUUUAGUUAAAAAGCUAAAAUAUUAUUGGAAGACGAGAAGACCCUAUAGAGCUUUAUAUUUUUAUUAUUAAUUUAUUAUAGUUUAUUAUUAUUUAUUAUUAAUAAAAGUAUUUUGUUGGGGUGACAAAAAUAUAUAAAUAACUUUUUUAUUUUAUUUACAUUGAUAUAUGAAUAUUAGAUCCAAUCUUAUUGAUUGUUAGAUUAAGUUACCUUAGGGAUAACAGCGUAAUCCCUCUCCAGAGUUCAUAUUUACAGAGGGGCUUGCGACCUCGAUGUUGGAUUAAGAUAAUAAUUAGGUGCAGCCGCUUAAUUAAUAGGUCUGUUCGACCUUUAAAUUCUU